rnacentral:rRNA from 1 species
AAGCACCGGCUAACUCCGUGCCAGCAGCCGCGGUAAUACGGAGGGUGCAAGCGUUGUCCGGAUUUAUUGGGUUUAAAGGGUGCGUAGGCGGCCUUUUUAGUCACCGGUGAAAGUUUAUGGCUCAACCAUGAAAUUGCCGUUGAUACUGGGGGGCUUGAGUGCCGAUGGGGUACAUGGAAUUUAUGGUGUAGCGGUGAAAUGCAUAGAUACCAUAAGGAACACCGAUAGCGAAGGCAUUGUACAUAUCGGCAACUGACGCUGAGGCACGAAAGCGCGGGUAGCGAACAGGAUUAGAUACCCUGGUAGAGGCAC